GACGAACGCUGGCGGCGUGCUUAACACAUGCAAGUCGAACGGAAAGGCCCUGCUUUUGUGGGGUGCUCGAGUGGCGAACGGGUGAGUAACACGUGAGUAACCUGCCCUUGACUUUGGGAUAACUUCAGGAAACUGGGGCUAAUACCGGAUAGGAGCUCCUGCUGCAUGGUGGGGUUUGGAAAGUUUCGGCGGUUGGGGAUGGACUCGCGGCUUAUCAGCUUGUUGGUGGGGUAGUGGCUUACCAAGGCUUUGACGGGUAGCCGGCCUGAGAGGGUGACCGGCCACAUUGGGACUGAGAUACGGCCCAGAGUCCUACGGGGGGCAGCAGUGGAGAAUAUUGCACAAUGGGCGGAAGCCUGAUGCAGCAACGCCGCGUGCGGGAUGACGGCCUUCGGGUUGGAAACCGCUUUAGCCUGUGACGAAGCGUGAGUGACGGUAAUGGGUAAAGAAGCACCGGCUAACUACGUG
rnacentral:rRNA from 1 species